CUAUGUUCUGACCUCAACUCUUUGUCAGUGAGAAGAUGUAAGUAGUGGUAGAAUGCUGGUGCACAAUACUUGCUUUAUGCUCCAUUGACACCAGUCGCAUCAAAUUUAAUGCUCAACGUCUUGACUUCUCGGCCGUGGAGCAACCGUCAACGUUUUUCUGGAAUUCAUUCAUUGUCACAUCAUAGAUAACAUGGAUGAUGUUGAGCGAGUAGCUUGGGUUUAUAUGGUUUGGCGAGCUUGCGGUUAGGUUCUCCAGAUCAUUCAGAGUCUCUCCCGUUGUAGUGUUCACUCCUGCAGCAGGAGCUACGCCGGACGGCCGAUUUAAACGUAACUUCCGUCUGUCAACCGAGAGGGGAAACAUAAAAAUUAAACUGGAGGAUAUUUUUAUUAUUGUCUUGACGAAAAUAAGAAAAAAAUCAUAACCCCAUGGAGCAAGAGCAAUCGCACCCGCUUUGACGGCACCCACCCAUACAAUGCUGACAGUAUCAAUGCAAGGCACUUUAAUUACUGUGAUAUUUACUAAGUUUCUAAAAGUUGUCUUUGAGUUUAUGUAAGUAUUUUUCAUUUCUGAUGUUAAGUGAAGUUUUUUUUUGUGAACAAUAACUAACUUGCUUGUACUAAAUAGCUGGUGAUAUAAUCUGGCUCCAAAACUUCAAUUUAUUUUUCAAAACCACAGUUUUCUUAAGUAUAAAUACAACAUUUUUUUAAUAUUUCAUUGGUUUUCUCUAAUAGUUUCAGUGAAGAAACUAUGAAGCUUUGUGUACAAACAAACAUGAAGGAGCUGCACUUAUUUGAACGUGAGAGGUCAGAGCACAAACAUGGCAAUGAAAGUCAAAUAAACUAAAUGAAAUACAGAGAGACUCCAGAAAAAAAAUAAGAAACAAGAAACAGAUGCAAAAUCAUUGAUUCUUUCUUUCUUGUAGCUCAAAUAUGCUCUAAUAUUUGCAUAAAUAGCUGCGGGUAACAAAUGCUGAAAUUAUUGUGUGCUCUUUCUGUGUUUAAAACAGAAUAAACUGAUGUAAUUUUACAGAAUAGCCACCAGGUUUGCUUGUGUUAAAAAAUAUUCUCAGCUUUCUGUUAAUAAUUGUGGUAAAAAUGAACAAAGCUGGACUGCAGAAAGGAUGAAAACCCCAGACUCUUAUGGAGCACAGAAGCAUUUCCUGUGAAGCUUGAAGAAGAUUCCUAGUGAAGUUACACAUAUGACUGCAACCCGGGAGAUCAUAAUGUGUUUCUCGCAUCUCGAAGGGAAUACAGUACAGUAUGUCAAUUAUUGAGAUUGAGAAGCCGGUGGGCGUGUUGUUAUAAAGCCACAGCUUGCAGCAUUUACGCCAAACUAAGCCGAUUGCUUCCCAUUGCACACUACAUUGUUCUCAUCUCACUCUAUCGAAAAAAACGAAGAAAUCAGAAACAGUAAACUCCUUUCAGAUUUCUGGAACUAGAGGACAGUUUUAGCCCUGGCAUUGGUGACCGUUAGCAAAUGAUGCACCUUUAAUUAAACUUGGCAGGUUCCUGGCGUCCAUGCAUCACCAUGUUAUGGAGGACAUGGAUGGCUUGGCAGUGGACCCGCAUCGUUUUUAGAGAAAAAAAAAAAAAGCCAGAAUAAAGCCAAAGCGUAAGCACAACAACAGGCUUGAAAAGGAAUGUUACAAAAGACAAGCUGGCAAACAGAUGACGGGGGAAACAAGAGGAGCGUAAUGGAACAGGACCAGGUGAUAUUUUUACUUGUUUCUCAAAUUCCUCUGUUAACUCAGAUGUUUGACUGAAAGAGAGCAGGCAUAAAGACUGAAAAAGCUGCAGCUUAUUAUUAGCGUGCAAUGACAGAUGAGAAGAGAUGCAAUUAGAAUGAGCCAUAUGGAUGAUCAUAUGGUCUUUUUAUAAUUAGCAGUAUUUUAAUAUAGAACAACAACUUGCCUAAAACAAGAGAAAAGAAAGCAAUAGUUGAAUCAUAAAUAACUUUUCUAGAGGAAGACUUAGUUCAGUUAAACAAUGAGAGUAAGUCAUUUUGAUUAUUUACUAGAAAACUCCUAUAUUGAUCGUAUUGUCUAUAUUUAUAUUGAUCUUUUCAUACAGAAUGUUACAUCUUACUCCUGGAGAACCUAUGGGGUCAAAUUUGGUUGAUGUUUAUAUUUUUAUUUUUUAAUAAUUGAUGCUAUCCAAGAUGAACAAACAAACAAACUAAUUUUAAAAGCCCCCAAAAUUCCUCCUGUGCUUUCCAGGGUUAAAGUGUAAUAUCCACACACGUUAUUUAAAAUUAUUAAAAUACAUUAAUUGACAUGAAAUACAACUGCUAUUAAAAUAUAGUGUAAUUACAAUAAUAUUAUACACUACAGUCUAUAUAUAUAUAUAUAUAUAUAUAUAUAUUUCGAAUUGAUUAAUAUGUAAAAAAAAAAAAAAAAAAAAAAGAAGUCUAAGCAGUCUGAGAAAGAUGCCCAAACUUCCCUCUCCCUUGCCACUUCCUCCAACUCCUCUAAGGGACCCCAAGGGCCUUCCCAGGCCAGCCAAGAGACAUAAUCUCUCCAGCAUGUUCUGGGGCCUAGACUCAGUUGGGAAAUGCCCCCAACACCUUCUCAGGGAGGCGCCCAGGAGGCACCUGGACCAGAUACCCGAACCGCCUCCACUGGCUCCUCCUGAUGUGGAGCUCUACUCCGAGAAACUUCGAAUCUCUCACCCCCAUAUGCUAUUUUGACUUAAAAUUCAGCUCAAGACUCUCUUGGAACGGUAGGACUCUAAUGUAGGGCUGGUGGGGGUUUUGGAUCUGUGAGAAUCUGGAGCUGGGUCCUGUCUGGGAGAGGAGAUCUCCUCCAUCAGGUGUUUCUCACAGAGAGCCAAUCAGAAACGGGAUCAGGUCCAAGAACCAGACCUAAAAGACCAGAAAGCCUCAGUAGACUCUCCUCCUUGAAACCUUUGCAGUGUCUCUAAACAUCACAUUAAGAUGGAGGUGAAAACAUGAUGGAAGCCCUUGAUCAUGUGACUAAAGACCUUAUUAAUGUAGCAUCAUGCGUUAAAAAAAAAUCAAAAAGUUCUUAUCAAUGUAAAAUUAAUAGGAAAUCCUACACGUGUAAAAACAUUUGAAAUAUAACAUAACAUUUACAAAUACAAGCGUUUGAAGGCAGCAGUUGUUCUGUUUCUGCUGAAGCUACCACAGCGUGCAACAACUUUUGUAUAAAAAAUGAAUGUACAACAGCAAAAUGUAGUUAAAAGGGAAUUUUAUGUAUGCCACUGGUCCAUCAAGGCUAAAAUUGGUUCAGACGCAGCAUGACUUUCUAUAAUUUUAUAAUAUCAUUGUUGCCCUGAGGGACUCGCCUUUGUAGGAUAGUUUGUACUUUUCACUUGCUAAACAUGAUCUACUUUCACAAGUCUGUCUCUUUUGUGCAGCGCAGCUCCUGCAUCUUUGUGAUCCAUUAAAGGUCACUGCUGCACAAACCGCACUACAGCAGAGAUUUCACGUAACGCUGUCCAAACAUAGACCAUACUUUUUAUCCAUCGUUCGCCUUCUUUCUAAUUCUUCCCAUCUAAUUUUAGGAAAACUCAUUUGAAAUGUUCUGACUGUCAAAUCCUUCAUAAUCACUUUUAUUUACUAUAUUUGGUUUAUGACAUUUUGACUGCAUCAGAGAUUGUGUCACACAACAAAGAUUUUCUGUUCAAACAGUGACGGCGAAAUGAUCGCAGGAUCUAAAAACUGCAUUAUAUGAGGCGAAAACUUUGAUCGUGUAUAAUGGGUUCAUUUGAAGUUCAUUUCAUCUCCUCAUAACACAACUAUGAUUGGAAGCUGUUUUACCUCUGGGGUCAAAUAAAGUUGAUUUAACAGUAUUGACAAAACAUUAGAAAAUGUGAACAGUUGUGUGUUAGAAUAGAAAUGGGCUGUCCUGCUGAUGGAACAUCAGGCGGCUACUGAUGCUGCAGCACCGCCUCGGGGGUACAACCACGCACGACAUGCGUUCAAGCAUGUUUGUGUGGAUCUGAGCUUUGUUUGUGUGAGUGCCCUACAGGAUGGUGUAUCAGUAAUCGUGUCUCCCCGUAUUAUCUGUGCGGCAACACGUGUGUUUGUGAGAGAAAUAUAGGUUGCGUGUUUGUAGAGAUGAAAAACACCAAAAAAAAAAAAAAAGCAAUAGUGGUGUGGAUUGAGCAAAAAGAUGAAACCUCCAGUAAUAUUGGACAUAUUUGAAGAGGAGGAAGAGGAGGAGGGGGUUGAAAGCAAAGAAGAGGAGUAACCUCAGAGGAGUUGCCUCUGCAAAACCAGUUAAGGUUCUUCAUUUUAUACAAUAAAGAAAAUUCUGAUUUAACAAAAUACAAAAUAGUAUAUUUAAAAAAAAGAAGAUUAAUUGGUUGUAUUUCACUCUUUGAAAUUAUGCAAUGUCCUCAUUUUACCACUAGGGUGCAACCUAGUUGAAUAAACUCCUAUUUUCCAUUUUUUAUGAAUUUGUUAGCAGUGCUGCUAACUCAAAUAAAAUACUUUAAAUAUUUAAAGAUUAACCUUUCACCUGGGAUGACUUUUUGAUUUUUAAUCAUUUUUUGUGUGUUUUUUUUUAAACAAAACCAUCUGGAAGCUUUAAGGGAAAAAGCAGGAGGCUGAAAGAAGGAUGUGUACUACACUGACUACCAUUAAUAAACAUCAACUAAUCAGAUGAACAAACCACGGGAGGAGCCAGCUGGUAAAUAACAUUCUUAUCAAAGCCAGACAGAAGGAGAGCAAGAACAUUGCUAUCAAAUAAAGCUCUCCCUGUUGUUCUUUGCUCUUUUUUUCAUUAAAGAAACCACUCUCCUGUUCUGAUCUGCAUUAACCAUCCUGGCUGCCUGUCCCAACAUUCAAGAGCACUUUCAGCUUUAACGGGAUUCAACGGGUCCAAUCUCCUCAGAAUGACGCGCCAUGACAUAAAACUGGAAUCAUCUCAGACUGGUUUCUUGAACCAGUCUCUGGACUCUAAAGGCAAAAAGAGACCCAACGCAGUACCAGCAAGCUGUACCUAAUAAAGUGUCUGUCUGGAGAUAUUCUAUCCUGUGCUAAUGCACGCUGCAUUCUGUUUCACCGGUACAGCGGGAGUCAUCAAAAACUGCAAAGAAACAGGCCACAUUUCUCCCCUAGCCCAGCACUUCUGCAUGUGUCUGCAAGUGUGCGUGUGUGUGCUUGUCUCUUUGUGUGUUUGCUCCUGAUGAGAAGAGCUGCUCAGCAAUAUUUAGUGUUACAGCGACAGAACAGCUUUAGGACAGAACAGAGGCUCACCUUCACAAAAGACCAAAUGAGAGGCGAAAAGCACCGAGAGAUAAGGAGAGAGAAAGGAACACAAACACUCUGACUUUUGAAUCCACUGAUGAAACGUUUCCUUUUAUCAGGUAAGACAAAAUGUUCAGCAGUAAAACCAUCUGGCCUUUUCCCCUACAUCCCCUUAAGAACACAAAACGACUUUAAAACACAUCAUUGUGUGAACAAUCCUUAAGCAGUGUUAAUCAGUGUGUCCACUUAUAUUUGGUCUCUCUACGAAUGAGCUCAAGUGCUAAAAAACUGUGAUGGAACUUUAUAGCACCAACCUAUAGGUGGAGUGUGAGUGUUUCAGAAAUUCACCUCUGAGUUAUAAACAGUACUGAUGACGCAGAGUAAGCCUGAACUCAUUUCCCAUCAUUCUUCUUCCUGCUACAAG